AGGUCAAUGACGCCUGGGGUUUAUGGUGUAGAUGCUGUGAGUAUUAGUGUUCGUGGUGAACCUGGUCUUACUGUAACAGCAGGGGCUGGUUUUCCAUCUCCUUUACAAGCUCAGACUUUACUAAACCAAAGACAUGAGGUCGGAGCUGGCAUUGGCUCAAGUGUUUCUACUGACUUCUUUAGAGAAAGGUUUGUGCCUUCGAGGAGUGGUGAUGGUCUCCUAGUCCUGAAAGGGGAAUCAAAUUAACAUUUAGUUUGUGGAUGAACUUCUCACUGACUGUACCAGAAGAGAAGUAGGCCAUCUAUUUCGUCCAUUCAUUGGCUUUAAAGAAAUCAAAGUAGUUCACAAGGAGCCUAGACACAGUGGAGAUAAGGCAAUGGUUUUAUGCUUUGUGGAGUUUGUGGAUCCAAAGUGUGCUUUGACGACUAUGGAAGCUCUACAAG